rnacentral:rRNA from 1 species
GACGAACGCUGGCGGCGUGCUUAACACAUGCAAGUCGAACGGAAAGGCCCUGCUUUUGUGGGGUGCUCGAGUGGCGAACGGGUGAGUAACACGUGAGUAACCUGCCCUUGACUUUGGGAUAACUUCAGGAAACUGGGGCUAAUACCGGAUAGGAGCUCCUGCUGCAUGGUGGGGGUUGGAAAGUUUCGGCGGUUGGGGAUGGACUCGGGGUUUAUCAGCUUGUUGGUGGGGUAGUGGCUUACCAAGGCUUUGACGGGUAGCCGGCCUGAGAGGGUGACCGGCCACAUUGGGACUGAGAUACGGCCCAGACUCCUACGGGAGGCAGCAGUGGGGAAUAUUGCACAAUGGGCGGAAGCCUGAUGCAGCAACGCCGCGUGCGGGAUGACGGCCUUCGGGUUGUAAACCGCUUUCGCCUGUGACGAAGCGUGAGUGACGGUAAUGGGUAAAGAAGCACCGGCUAACUACGU